GAUAAACGCUGGCGGCGUGCUUUAUGCAUGCAAGUCGAACGGUCUUGAUUUAUCAAGACAGUGGCGAACGGGUGAGUAACGCGUAAGUAACCUGCCCUUAAGUGGGGAAUAACCCCGGGAAACCGGAGCUAAUACCGCAUGUGGUGGUGGGGGCAAUGCCCCAUCACUAAAGCCUUCGGGCGCUUAGGGAGGGGCUUGCGUUCGAUUAGCUAGUUGGUAAGGUAACGGCCUACCAAGGCGACGAUCGAUAGCUGGUUUGAGAGGACGAUCAGCCACACUGGGACUGAGACACGGCCCAGACUCCUACGGGAGGCAGCAGCAAGGAAUAUUGUGCAAUGGGCGAAAGCCUGACACAGCGACGCCGCGUGAGGGAUGAAGGCCUUCGGGUUGUAAACCUCUUUUCCCAGGGAAGAAUAAUGACGGUACCUGGGGAAUAAGUCUUGGCUAACUACGUGCCAGCAGCCGCGGUAAUACGUAGAAGGCGAGCGUUAUCCGGAUUUAUUGGGCGUAAAGAGGGCGUAGGCGGUUCUUCAAGUCGGAUGUAAAAUCUCCCGGCUUAACUGGGAGAGACCAUUCGAUACUGCUGGGCUAGAGUGCAGUAGAGGGAGACGGAAUUCCCGGUGUAGUGGUGAUAUGCGUAGAUAUCGGGAGGAACACCAGUGGCGAAGGCGGUCUCCUAGGCUGUUACUGACGCUGAGGCCCGAAGGCGUGGGGAGCGAACAGGAUUAGAUACCCUGGUAGUCCACGCAGUAAACGAUGGACACUAGGUAUGGGGAGUAUCGACCCUCUCCGUGCCGAAGUUAACGCUUUAAGUGUCCCGCCUGGGGACUACGGCCGCAAGGCUA
rnacentral:rRNA from 1 species